rnacentral:rRNA from 1 species
AGUGAACGCUGGCGGUAGGCCUAACACAUGCAAGUCGAACGGCAACACAGUAAGUUCUUGCUCUGACGGGUGGCGGGUGGCGGGCGUGACAGGAAUACAUCGUGAUCUACUUUUUCGGGUGGGAUAACGUAGCUGAACUUACUCUAGUACCGCAUACGACCUACGGGUGAAGGCAGGGGAUCUUCGGACCUUGCGCGAUUGAAUGAGCCGAUGUCGGAUUAGUUGGUUGGCUGGGUAAAGGCCCACCAAGGCGAGGAUCCGUGGCUGGUCUGGGAGGAUGAUAGGCCACACUAGAACUGAGACACGGUCAAGACGCCUGCGGGAGGCAGCAGUGGGGUAUAGUAGACAAUGGGCGCAAGCCUGACACAGCCAUACCGCGUGGGUGAAGAAGGCCUUGGGGUUGGGAAGACGUUUUGUUGGGAGAGAACAGCAGCCGGUUGAGACCAAGCUGUUCUGACGGUACCCAAAGAAUAAGCACCGGCUAACUUCGUG